CAGGGUAUGGAAUGAAGCUUUUAAAGGUUUCAUUGUGCCACCUGUUGGAAUUAAUUGACCUGGACCCGACCCAGGUCCGACCCACCCACAAAACUGAUCAAUAAUUGCACUUAGGUGGUUUUUGUGACAGUUAAGAAACUGUCACAAAAGACCUAUAAAACAAGGCAAUGUGAUUAGAAGUAUGUACGUGAAUUUGACGGUUCACAAAAUACAAUCCAGACGGCAGGGAAGAGUGCAAACAAGAAGAAAUUUAGAUUGCGAUUCAAGAAGAUUUUCCAAUCGGUGAUCAUCUUCGAACCGGUGAAAUAAACUCUACUCGAUCCGCUUUCGCAAUACUAUCCGAGUUAAACAUGCAAAUUGAAGGUGUAGCUAAAGAAACUCGGAGUUGGAAUGCUUGAGAUACGAAGAAACAAAAAGUUAGAAAUAAGCUAAUGUAAUAGCCUACAACCCAGUCGUAAGAUAUGGUGGUUUCACUCCUAAUUAGGACAAAAAGCGAAGACCAUAAGCUACAAUCCCAACAUAGCUUACAGUGAACUCAGAUAUAAGUUUUCACAACAUAGUACCACCGUAGGCUAUGGUCCCAAUGUUGCCUACAGCGGUAGAUACAUAAAUUUUGUUAAAACGUGAUUUUUUGGGUUUCUAGAGAUAUAUUUUCAUUCCUACUCAACUUGGAGGCUUCUUAAGCAAUUUUGGGAGCAUAGAUUAAAGCUUUUUAGAGAUUCCAACCCAUCCAGUCAUUAUUCCAUCAUCAACAACAAAAUCAAUCAUGCAAUCUACAUCAAUCUUUAAAGAUUCAAUCACAAGUAUGAGCGGCUAAUCUUUGGUGGUUUCCUUCCGGUGGAGGAUUAUUGUAAGUAGAUGAUUUGAUUUAGCUUUUUUUUCUGUAUUUGGAACACACGAUCUAAGCAUUUGACGUCUGUUGCUUAUUUGUUUGA